GCAAGGGGAUAAGAGAAGCCUGGGAGGAGAGCUGCCCAGCCUGGGGCCUCAGGGAUCAGACGUGGGGCACCUCCACCAUGACCUGGACCCCUCUCCUCCUCAGCCUGCUUGCUCACUGCACAGGGUCUGUGGCCUCCUAUGAGGUGACACAGCCACCCUCGAUGUCAGUGCAGCCAGGACAGACAGCCAGGAUCACCUGUGGGGGAGACAACAUUGGAGGUAAAAGUGUUUCCUGGUACCAGCAGAAGCCCGGCCAGGCCCCUGUAACCAUCAUCUACUGGGAUAGCAACCGGCCGUCAGGUAUCCCUGACCGGUUCUCAGGCUCCAACUCGGGGAACACGGCCACCCUGACCAUCAGCGGGGUCCAGGCCCAGGACGAGGCUGACUACUACUGUGCAGCAUAUAGUAGUGGUACUAAUACUCACGGUGGCACAGGCAGACGGGGAAAGCUGCCAGCUCCACUGAGCUCCUGA